AUUGAACGCUGGCGGCAGGCCUAACACAUGCAAGUCGAGCGAGUGGCGGAAGGGUGAGUAAUGCUUGGGAAUCUUGCUUAUGGAGGGGGAUAACUACGGGAAACUGUAGCUAAUACCGCGUACCAUAGGAUGAGCCCAAGUGGGAUUAGGUAGUUGGUGAGGUAAAGGCUCACUAAGCCGACGAUCCGUAGCUGGUCUGAGAGGAUGACCAGCCACACUGGGACUGAGACACGGCCCAGACUCCUACGUGAGGCAGCAGUGGGGAAUAUUGCGCAAUGGGGGCAACCCUGACGCAGCCAUGCCGCGUGUAUGAAGAAGGCCUUCGGGUUGUAAAGUACUUUCAGCGGGGAGGCGUUACCCGCAGAAUAAGCACCGGCUAACUCCGUGCCAGCAGCCGCGGUAAUAC
rnacentral:rRNA from 1 species